rnacentral:rRNA from 1 species
ACCACCGGGCAUGCUCAGUACGGCGAGUGAAGCGGCAAGAGCUCAAAUUUGAAAGCUGGCUCCUUCGGGGUCCGCAUUGUAAUUUGCAGAGGAUGCUUCGGGUGCGGCCCCUGUCUAAGUGCCCUGGAACGGGCCGUCAGAGAGGGUGAGAAUCCCGUCUGGGAUGGGGUGUCCGCGCCCGUGUGAAGCUCCUUCGACGAGUCGAGUUGUUUGGGAAUGCAGCUCUAAAUGGGUGGUAAAUUUCAUCUAAAGCUAAAUACUGGCCGGAGACCGAUAGCGCACAAGUAGAGUGAUCGAAAGAUGAAAAGCACUUUGAAAAGAGAGUUAAAAAGCACGUGAAAUUGUUGAAAGGGAAGCGCUUGCGACCAGACUCGCCUCCAGGGUUCAGCCGGCAUUCGUGCCGGUGUACUUCCCUGGGGGCGGGCCAGCGUCGGUUUGGGCGGCCGGUCAAAGGCUCCCGGAAUGUAGUGCCCUCCGGGGCACCUUAUAGCCGGGAGUGCAAUGCGGCCAGCCUGGACCGAGGAACGCGCUUCGGCACGGACGCUGGCAUAAUGGUCGUAAACGACCCGUCUUGAAAAC